UGCGUAGGCGGUUACAUUAGUUGGGUGUAAAAUCCUGGGGCUCAACCUCAGGCUCGCAUCCGAAACGGUAUAACUAGAAGAAGUCAGAGGUAAGCAGAACUCUCGGUGUAGGGGUGAAAUCCGUUGAUAUCGAGGGGAAUACCAAAUGCGAAGGCAGCUUACUGGGACUUUCUUGACGCUGAGGCACGAAAGCGUGGGUAGCGAAUC
rnacentral:rRNA from 1 species